rnacentral:rRNA from 1 species
GGUUAAGCGACUAAGCGUACACGGUGGAUGCCCUGGCAGUCAGAGGCGAUGAAGGGCGUGCUAAUCUGCGAUAAGCGCCGGUAAGGUGAUAUGAACCGUUAUAACCGGCGAUACCCGAAUGGGGAAACCCAGUGUGAUUCGUCACACUAUCAUUAACUGAAUCCAUAGGUUAAUGAGGCGAACCGGGGGAACUGAAACAUCUAAGUACCCCGAGGAAAAGAAAUCAACCGAGAUUCCCCCAGUAGCGGCGAGCGAACGGGGAGGAGCCCAGAGCCUGAAUCAGCAUGUGUGUUAGUGGAAGCGUCUGGAAAGGCGCGCGAUACAGGGUGACAGCCCCGUACACAAAAGCGCAUGUGUUGUGAGCUCGAUGAGUAGGGCGGGACACGUGGUAUCCUGUCUGAAUAUGGGGGGACCAUCCUCCAAGGCUAAAUACUCCUGACUGACCGAUAGUGAACCAGUACCGUGAGGGAAAGGCGAAAAGAACCCCGGCGAGGGGAGUGAAAAAGAACCUGAAACCGUGUACGUACAAGCAGUGGGAGCACAGGUUUACCUGUGUGACUGCGUACCUUUUGUAUAAUGGGUCAGCGACUUAUAUUCUGUAGCAAGGUUAACCGAAUAGGGGAGCCGGAGGGAAACCGAGUCUUAACCGGGCGUUAAGUUGCAGGGUAUAGACCCGAAACCCGGUGAUCUAGCCAUGGGCAGGUUGAAGGUUGGGUAACACUAACUGGAGGACCGAACCGACUAAUGUUGAAAAAUUAGCGGAUGACCUGUGGCUGGGGGUGAAAGGCCAAUCAAACCGGGAGAUAGCUGGUUCUCCCCGAAAGCUAUUUAGGUAGCGCCUCGUGAAUUCAUCUCCGGGGGUAGAGCACUGUUUCGGCUAGGGGGCCAUCCCGGCUUACCAACCCGAUGCAAACUGCGAAUACCGGAGAAUGUUAUCACGGGAGACACACGGCGGGUGCUAACGUCCGUCGUGAAGAGGGAAACAACCCAGACCGCCAGCUAAGGUCCCAAAGUCAUGGUUAAGUGGGAAACGAUGUGGGAAGGCCCAGACAGCCAGGAUGUUGGCUUAGAAGCAGCCAUCAUUUAAAGAAAGCGUAAUAGCUCACUGGUCGAGUCGGCCUGCGCGGAAGAUGUAACGGGGCUAAACCAUGCACCGAAGCUGCGGCAGCGACGCUUAUGCGUUGUUGGGUAGGGGAGCGUUCUGUAAGCCUGUGAAGGUGGCCUGUGAGGGUUGCUGGAGGUAUCAGAAGUGCGAAUGCUGACAUAAGUAACGAUAAAGCGGGUGAAAAGCCCGCUCGCCGGAAGACCAAGGGUUCCUGUCCAACGUUAAUCGGGGCAGGGUGAGUCGACCCCUAAGGCGAGGCCGAAAGGCGUAGUCGAUGGGAAACGGGUUAAUAUUCCCGUACUUGGUGUUACUGCGAAGGGGGGACGGAGAAGGCUAUGUUGGCCGGGCGACGGUUGUCCCGGUUUAAGCGUGUAGGUGUGUGUUCCAGGUAAAUCCGGUUCACUUUAACACUGAGGCGUGAUGACGAGGCACUACGGUGCUGAAGCAACAAAUGCCCUGCUUCCAGGAAAAGCCUCUAAGCAUCAGGUAACAUCAAAUCGUACCCCAAACCGACACAGGUGGUCAGGUAGAGAAUACCAAGGCGCUUGAGAGAACUCGGGUGAAGGAACUAGGCAAAAUGGUGCCGUAACUUCGGGAGAAGGCACGCUGACACGUAGGUGAAGUGAUUUACUCAUGGAGCUGAAGUCAGUCGAAGAUACCAGCUGGCUGCAACUGUUUAUUAAAAACACAGCACUGUGCAAACACGAAAGUGGACGUAUACGGUGUGACGCCUGCCCGGUGCCGGAAGGUUAAUUGAUGGGGUCAGCGCAAGCGAAGCUCCUGAUCGAAGCCCCGGUAAACGGCGGCCGUAACUAUAACGGUCCUAAGGUAGCGAAAUUCCUUGUCGGGUAAGUUCCGACCUGCACGAAUGGCGUAAUGAUGGCCAGGCUGUCUCCACCCGAGACUCAGUGAAAUUGAACUCGCUGUGAAGAUGCAGUGUACCCGCGGCAAGACGGAAAGACCCCGUGAACCUUUACUAUAGCUUGACACUGAACAUUGAGCCUUGAUGUGUAGGAUAGGUGGGAGGCUUUGAAGCGUGGACGCCAGUCUGCGUGGAGCCGACCUUGAAAUACCACCCUUUAAUGUUUGAUGUUCUAACGUGGACCCGUAAUCCGGGUUGCGGACAGUGUCUGGUGGGUAGUUUGACUGGGGCGGUCUCCUCCUAAAGAGUAACGGAGGAGCACGAAGGUUGGCUAAUCCUGGUCGGACAUCAGGAGGUUAGUGCAAUGGCAUAAGCCAGCUUGACUGCGAGCGUGACGGCGCGAGCAGGUGCGAAAGCAGGUCAUAGUGAUCCGGUGGUUCUGAAUGGAAGGGCCAUCGCUCAACGGAUAAAAGGUACUCCGGGGAUAACAGGCUGAUACCGCCCAAGAGUUCAUAUCGACGGCGGUGUUUGGCACCUCGAUGUCGGCUCAUCACAUCCUGGGGCUGAAGUAGGUCCCAAGGGUAUGGCUGUUCGCCAUUUAAAGUGGUACGCGAGCUGGGUUUAGAACGUCGUGAGACAGUUCGGUCCCUAUCUGCCGUGGGCGCUGGAGAACUGAGGGGGGCUGCUCCUAGUACGAGAGGACCGGAGUGGACGCAUCACUGGUGUUCGGGUUGUCAUGCCAAUGGCACUGCCCGGUAGCUAAAUGCGGAAGAGAUAAGUGCUGAAAGCAUCUAAGCACGAAACUUGCCCCGA